CAUUCACGGUUCAACCGGCCUUGUUCACCGAACGCAUGCUUGAGAGCAGCACGAUACCACUGCGCAAGCGCUCCGUCACGUGGCUUUUUUGAUAUUUCGCGGGCUUUCUUUG
rnacentral:lncRNA from 1 species